rnacentral:rRNA from 1 species
CAGCCGUAAACAAUGUGCGUUAGGUGUGUCGGUAACCACGCGUUACUGAUGCGCCGAAGAGAAAUCGUGAAACGCACCACCUGGGAAGUACGGUCGCAAGGCUGAAACUUAAAGGAAUUGGCGGGGAGCACCACAACAGGUGGAGCCUGCGGUUUAAUUGGAUUCAACGCCGGACAUCUCACCGGAUAAGACAGCUGAAUGAUUGUCAAUCUGAAGGUUUUACAUGACUAGCUGAGAGGUGGUGCAUGGCGUCAGUGACU